AGGGAUAUGACUAAAUUGGCAAAGUGCUUGCCUUGCAAGCACAAGGCCCUGGGUUCAAACCCCAGCCCCA
rnacentral:tRNA from 1 species